rnacentral:rRNA from 1 species
AGAGUUUGAUUAUGGCUCAGAACGAACGCUGGCGGCGCGUUUUAAGCAUGCAAGUCGAGCGGCAAGGGCCUUCGGGCCCCUAGAGCGGCGGACGGGUGAGUAACACGUGGACAAUCUGCCCCCCGGCCGGGGAUAGCCCAGGGAAACCUGGAUUAAUACCGGAUGAGACGGGACCCGCGGAGGCGGGAUCCGGGAAAGGCGCUGCGGCGCCGCCGGGGGAUGAGUCUGCGUCCCAUUAGCUUGACGGCGGGGUAACGGCCCACCGUGGCGACGAUGGGUAGCCGGCCUGAGAGGGUGGACGGCCACAUUGGAACUGAGACACGGUCCAGACUCCUACGGGAGGCAGCAGCUAAGAAUCUUCCGCAAUGGGCGAAAGCCUGACGGAGCGACGCCGCGUGAACGAAGAAGGCCGUGAGGUUGUAAAGUUCUUUUCGGGAGGGGGAACAACCGUGGCAGGGAAUGGCCGCGGGAUGACGUGAAUCCCGGAAUAAGCCCCGGCUAACUACGUGCCAGCAGCCGCGGUAACACGUAGGGGGCGAGCGUUGUUCGGAAUCAUUGGGCGUAAAGGGCGUGCAGGCGGUCCUGCAAGUCCGGCGUGAAAGACCCCGGCCCAACCGGGGGGGCGCGCUGGAAACUGCAGGGCUUGAGUACAGGAGGGGAUGCCGGAAUUCCAGGUGUAGGGGUGAAAUCUGUAGAUAUCUGGAGGAACACCAAUGGCGAAGGCAGGCAUCUGGCCAUGUACUGACGCUGAGACGCGAAGGUGCGGGGAGCAAACAGGAUUAGAUACCCUGGUAGUC